rnacentral:lncRNA from 10 species
AAGGGAUGAGCCAAAGAGUGAGAGCAUUAGCUCCAAAUAUUUACCCCAAGUCCAGAGUAGGGGCCAUGUUGCCCAGAUGUUGGGUGCUAACCUCUUACCAGUCAUCAUCCCCCUUGAAUUAAGCCCACUGACAAGGAUGCAUUUGUCAGGACAGGGGAGCUCCGGAAGCUUGGGUCCGAGGGAGGAGACUCAGACUCCAUGAGCUUCCCCACCAGCUCCAUGGCUGGGCCCUUCCUUGACGCCUCACGGGGCCUGGGCUCCUCCCAGGGAGCCCCAGCCAGAGGACCAGCAUCAUCCUAGACAACCCUCCUCUGUUUAUGCACUGAGUCAUGUGGGCUCCCCACCAAGGCUCCCAGAGCUGCCACUUCUGUCCUUGUGAUGAGCUGAGUUAGCAUCUCCCUCCCUGCACGACUGCCAUGGCCCCUUCAACCCUCUCCCUGCAUACUUUCGGGGCCCAUUCCUCACCCCCAAACCCUUCUCUCCAAAGGGCCAUCAGUGUGACCAUUUCCAAUGAUCCAGGGGUUACUUCUCUGCCCCCACCCCACUCCCCUCUAUUUUUCCCCUGCCUCACACCUUCAGUGACUGUGCAGCCACUGGCUUCUCCUGCCCCCCCUUUCCCUUAGGAUUCCCCUCGUCCUAGCCGGGCAUGUGGCCACAGUCCCUGCCUCCUCUACAGCAGAGGGCAGCUGGGUCGUAGCUGGCGGGACAUGAGGAGAAGGUAUGUGAGCAGGUUCCCCUCCUUCCUCCCAAGGAAACUGCUGGCCCUUGGCUUCCUCCUUCCCCUUCCGGCCAGCUAGACUGCAGACUUGGCCAGCUUCCAGCAGGCCCACCAGGUCCACACCGCACAUCAAGAGUGCCUGGCAGCAAGCUGGAAGGAGCAUGGGUUUCCAGGUACCUCUUGGAGCACAGAGAUCUGACACCUCCAGGCAGCAUCAGCUGAGAAGUUUCAGGGAUGUGGAACUGGGUGGAGGAUGGAGCCCACCACCAGGGGAUUUGGGCGACAACGCUCUACACCUUCCCCACAGCCCCACCCUAAGGCCAGCACAGGGCAGGGCAGGACCAGGUUUGCUUGUGAGUCUGGGAGGCCAAGAUCUCCACUGGCACCCUAAAGGCAAUCUGUAAACACUCCCCUUCCUCCCUCUCAGCCGUCAGACAUUCCAGCCAAAUGCAAAUGUGUGAUGCCUGUCUGGGUAGAGCUUUUUCUGAAACGUUAUCCUCUGCAUCUCCUGCACCUCCCUCGUUUCACCAGGGCUGAGCCUCUUCAGAGAUUCAGAGCAAUUUGUUGCCAUAACAACCCCUCUCUCCCACUCCAGAACGUUUAAAUACCAGCCUUCUUCAGUCUGGUUCUUCUCAGGGGGCUCUGCAAAGUGGUUUCCUCAAGGGAGAGGGGAGGCAAGUCCUCCUCCUCUGUUCUUGGGGUGUGGAGCUCCUGAUCAAACUCCCAAGUAAAGACCAGGUUUGCCCUCCUGCCCUGGUCUAAAAACAGCUGAAUCCUAAGGGAAUCAGUUCAGCUUGGCCUCACCUCAGAGCCUAACAUGUCUGUGUGACUUCCAGGCUUCGUUUAGCUUUGUUCCAUCACAGAGAAAUUAUGAAAGAAAUUAUGGAGGAGCAGAAGUUAGUUUAGGGUUGUUUUCCCAUUGGGAAAACCAAGGUCCCAAGGAGGCGUAAAGUGUCUAAGACCACGUCAUUCACUGCCCAAUACAGGUGCAAAUCCAGGAUCUGCUGUUGAUGCCACUUAAGUGUAGAAGACCUUCAAAGGUCUUGAGGGAAGACUUGAGCCACUUCCACAUCAGCAGGCAACUCCCCAGAACCCAAGGAUCAGGCCCACCCAGGAAAAGAGUGUGUUUUCCUCUUUUGGUGUUAAGGGAGACCCAGAAUGUAAAUGAGCCAGAGCCUUCUGAACGAACCAAAGGAUGCUGAGAAACCCCACAAAUGGCCCUGCCCUAAAGCAUCAAGGAAUGAGUGGGCAACCGACAGGCUUCAUUCUGUAGAAUCACAAGAACAAGACAGCCAAUUCGGGAAAAUCCACUAGCACAGAAAUCUCUGUCGCCCCAGCUUCUACCGUGUUCCUCUCCUUCCCCAAUCAAUAAAGCUAGAUGAUAUAUUUAUUCUGCGAAAUCCUUUUGACCAUGCCAGGGUCUUAUUUGUAAGUCAAUCCUGACUUUUAAACAGAGGUUGUUAAAUGCCAAUAGUUUUGAUUUUAUAUCUAAAUCAAGCAGGAAGCUUUCUAGCUUAUAAGACAAAAUCUUUGUCUGAAAUCUUGCCUUUUCAGCCAGUUUCCUUCAGGAAUUUUUUUUUUAAAACCAUAACUGUCACUUAUAGAUUAUAAAUUCUGUUCCCUGGCCUCUCAUGUUCGGUUGUAUAACCUUGUUAUGUUAACACAGAAAUUAAACAGGAGAGAUGAAUCAGCUAAAUUGGAUUUACUUAUAUAGAUCAAAUGGCCACAGCCCAACUAGUAGGAAAAUGGGCCUAACUGGUGCCAAGAAGGAACGAGCUUAUUCCAAGGGAUCUCGAUUUAAAGAAGGAGAAGGAAAAGGGCAUGAGGAAUCAACACCAGCAUUCAGGGUAGGUGUGGUUUCUGAUGCUCUUGUUGUACAUUCCAGAUGGUUGGAGAAGGAGCAUGACAAGUUAUCAUAAAGUAAUGGGGGAGAGGACAGCUCAGGGGAGGCCAAGGGGGACCAGGAGCAUCCUGGCCAGGCACCUGGGUGGAAGUGGCAUGCAGACCUCCCUCCUUCACCCUUGCAUCGGGCCAUUUUUCAGCAUCUUUUCAUAUAUGAUCUGGUUUGAGCAUCCCGAGAGCAGAGAUGGGCGGGAGGGAGGCAGGUUCUGUUGUUCCAGUUCUGCUAAUUGAAUUGCAGAGGCGGAAUGGGCUUCCAGACACUCCAUAAAGACAGCUCCAUCACACAGAAAAUAAUUCAAAUCAAGUCACCUCGAUCAUUACUAGACAAGGCUUGGAUAUAAGUGCCCAGUUCCUGGCCCAGAGCAGUGCCCCAGAAGUCAUCCUCCUCCCCGCCUGCCAACCCUCACUUGGGGCUCCAGAUGCCCUGAACUGCUGCCCCUUCACUGAGCAGGCCCACCCCCCAAAUGCAGGACCUAGGCCUCAUUCUAGACCCUAUUCCCCCUCCUGAAGUGCCCUGGACUCAGCCUUUGGGGCUUAGUUUAGACAACACACCUCCAGCCCCCCGGGACUGGCU